rnacentral:lncRNA from 1 species
CAUCUGCAACAAUCGAGUUUUAAACAAACCGUGAACCCUCAAUCGCAAUUAUUAGCACACAUUAACGACAGAUUAUUAGCACACAUUACCACAAUUGAACUCCCAUAUCGAUUAAGAACCCUAAAAAAAACCCCCCAAAUCGAUUUUAAUCACAAAUCGCAAAUCCCUUUCGAACAUUCAGAGAAACGAACCCUACAUGAAACGACCAUGACGAUUUACAGCUAUUAUUCGAAACAGAGACUUCGAUUUACAUCCCUAACGCGAAAGCCCCAAUUUUUAAUUGAAAUCCGAGAAAACGGUUUCGAGUUUCCACCACAAAAUCGAACCAAUUCAACCCUCAAUCUACUCGAUACUCACCUGAGCAAGUGGAGAAGACACUCCGUCGUCGAUUAGAACGAGAAAACCUCCGGGAGACGAAGUCGCACGAAAUAUCGCCUCUCAGAAAAAAACCCUAGCUUUUUGGUGGAGAAGAACAAAUGAGGCGAUACACGUCGAACCCCAACUUUCCUCCUCCUCUACGCGCUUUCGUUCAGCAAAUCAACACCCGACGCGUGGCUUGAACCCGCUUCAUACGGUAUCACUCGCAAGGCCCGGUUCAUCAAAACGAACCCAUUUUUUAUUUUCUUUUAUUCAUCGACCCCUUAGAACUCGAGCCCAUGAACCUCACUAAAACCCCUAAUGCUCAUGGUCUAACAUUUUCUUCUCACCAAAUCUUGUUUAUAAGGUAUUCGCAAAUGCAUUUAGCACAAAUAUGUAGAUCAUAUUUGGCAUAAGAUUGCUAGAGUUUAAUUAGUAGAUCAGCUGUAUCUAACACAAAUAUGUAAAUCAUAUUUGGCAUAAGAUUGCUAGAGUUUAAUUAGAUCAUGCUGUAUCUAUCAUCUAACAUAAUCAAGUUAUAGCAAAAAAAUUAUAGUUUGAAGUUUUAGACGAUUGUAGUGGUCCAAUGGAUAUAAACAGCUUGAAAAUGUGGUGAAACAUUAGCCGAGGAUUUAAUUAGUCAAUCAAGACUCUCGGUAAUGUCUUUACCUAGACAAUAUGAAUAUGAUUGACUGGUGUAAAUCUAAACUUUAAUGGGGUUUAAGCAAAUGUAACAAUGGGACUGAAUUACUGUCGUUACUAAUUAGCAAUUCAUUGCUCAUGCAUGCAUCGUGUAUGCGAUUGGAGCUGAUAAACAAGGCUGUGAAUGAUACAGCAUAACUUUUUAGUAUAUGCAUUCGAUACCGGAGAUGGCCAUUUUUAAGAAUUUGAAUAAGAUUGUUUCUUGCCCAGCUUAGCCUCCCUUAAUCUUUGGGGUUUAUUUUUUUUAACUCAAAUCUUUGGGGGUUUUAGCUUCCCGUAUAACUCUCGGGCGGGCUUUGUUACCGGUUGAUCCGGCUUUGUAACUCUCUCAAAAACAUGAUGUUAAUAUAAAUUUAAUUCAGUGGAAAAAGAAUAAGAUCGUUUAUAGCUUUGUGGCAUUUAAAUAAAAAAUAUUCAUUGAUAAAAAAAAUAUAUAUUCUACUACUCACAUUUUGCAAUAUUUUUUUUUUUUGAUAAUCGUGGUAUCCGAAUGCCCCGUGGGGAUCCGACUAGCAACUAAAAACCGUCCGGAUGAAUCUGAACCACUAAGGGUCCGCCGGAGCCCGCCGAAGGCAUCCACGAGGGCUGGUGAUCACCCCAUGUAAAUCCCACCAGUGGCCAGCGCAGUUGGAAGUGUCCGUAUCGAGCCCGAAAACCCUCAAGAGCAACAUCCGCCAGCGGAACUCGAACCCAUGACUUCCCAGGUUGAGUACCGCCACUUUGCAAUAUUUGCUCUAAACGUAUGAUGUAUUUCAAUUUUCUUGUUAGGCAAUAAAACAGUAUAUGCAUUAAAUAAUAAUCUAUUCAUUUCAUAAUAAAAGUCGUUUAUUUUUUACAUGUAUUAAUUUUUUUAUUUAAUAUAUGUUAUUUAUCAAAUUAUUUUAUCUACUUUUAUUAAUUAAUAAGGUUAAAAUAAAGAUAAAACUGAACAAUUUCAUUUAAUAUGUACAUUAAAAACAUAAAUGAUAUUAUAAUAAAACAAAUUUAAAGAUUAAAACAAUAUUAAUAUCAAGGAGUGAAUAUAUAUAUAUAUAUAUAGAUACUGAUAGUAAUUUCUUUUUAAAGAUAUAGCCUUCAUUUUCCAAGUGGUCAUAUAGUCAUUUUCUAUCACCUCACUAAUCCCUUAUAUAUUAAAAGAGAAGCAUUGUAAUAAAUACAUUCACACUAUAAUAGACACGUGGUAGCUUCACGAUAAUUUGAUAAUAAAUAUGUUAACGCAUUCACACUAUAUUCAUAAAUGUGUUCAUACUAUAUACUUUGUAUUUUUUUAAUAUAAAACUCACAUGCAUUGUUCAAAUAAAACUUUGAAUUAUUCUGUUCGAAUCAAAACAAAUAACGAAUCAAAAGCUAAACUAUAUAUAUAUUAUUUUUAUUUUUUAUGGAUAAAGUUGGGCAAAAUAUUCAUAAAUUUUGAUUCUAUUCGUUAUCCGUUUUGAUUUGAAACAAAAAAUCUAGAUAAUUUAUAACUCUACGAAGCAAAUCAAAUACUAAAAUACUAUAUCCAAAAAAGAAGCAAAUCACAAAUACCAAUAUUUUUAGGAAUGAAUAUCUAAUUCGAUCUGUUAUAUACAUAUAUGUAAAGAACUAUAUAUAUAUAUAUAUAUUAUAGUCUAUAUAAGUUUUACAAUAUUUUUAUGAAUUAAAUUUUGUUAUAUUAGGAACUAGAAUUUUUUCUUAAAAUGUUUUAUUUUGUAAUAAAAUGUUAUUAUUAAUUUUUUCAAUUAUUUUUAAAAUUUUAUUUUAUUUACGGAUCAAAUCGGAUAUUCUUUAAAAUUCUAAAAUAAAAUCGGAUAUCCGAGUCACCGAAUAUCCAGGUGGCUAAAGAUCGAAUCGACACAAAUGCCUCCAAAUAUCCGGAUAUUUGAUCUGUGCCCACCCCUAUUUACGGAUAUAAUUUUAUUUUCUUUAUAUGAAAGAAAUUCACUAAUGUCAAGGCCUUUUUUAUUUUUAAUUAAUUUUAAUUUUAUCUUUUAUGUAUUAUUUUGAACAAAAAUGUCAUUUAAUAUUAAUUAACAAUACAAGUAUUUUUAUAUAUUUUUACAUACACAUACAAGUGCACCUUGAUGUGAGCACUUUGUAACUAAGUAUUCACCACAACUGAAGUAUCUAAUUUUUUUUUAAGUUGAAAUAUUUUUUUUUUCUUAAAGCUUCUUUCACUACCGACCAAAUUGUAGUAAAAUGAUUUGUCUUAAUAAUUUUUUUUUCUUUUUUUUGAAUUAUUAUCUAUUUAGAAACUAUAAUAUGAAACCAUUGGUUUGACACGAUGACUAUCUUAAAUUCAUAACAUAAAAAUAAAUAAAUAAUAGUAAUUUUUGUUUUUUUACCGAAAAAACAAAAGAAAUCAAACAUUUUAACAGAAAGAACCAAAAAACGUAAAACCGAAUCAAUAUCCAAAUUAAACAGAUUUAUUGUUUUUUUAUUGAAAAUAAUGAAACUAAUAAUCACAUUCUCCGCAAGGCGCGGAUUAUUACCUAGUUUAUAAUUAACUGAGACAUAAAAAAAAAGAACAUUAAGUAGGCUUUGAAUCUUUGAUUGAACAAAUCAACUUUGUCCCCUUCACGUGUCUUUUACAUUCACAGGUCUAAAUAAUAUUUCAUUUGACCUAUCUGUCCCUAGCUCUAUAUAUAUUCAACUUCAGCUUCUUUCUAGCUAAAGCUUCUCUCUAUUUUCAUCUUCAAUGGCUGCCUCCUACCACGUUCGCUCUUCUAGCUUACCAUCUAGGCUACACUCAAGUGGUCUCAGUCAUAUCCAACUCCUCCUCAAGAAGCUACCUACAGAUAAUAAUAAUAACAGCCUCUCACUUCUGUCACAGCUUUACCACUCCGUCUCUCAUCUCUUCAACGAAUCACCUUCUUCAUUGCUACUCCCUCAUCACUCCUUCUUUACUCAUCUUCUUGAUCUCUCCCUUGUACACCUUGACUUGUGUUCCAAGCUAAGAGACAUCACUUGCCGCAUCAAGGACUGUCUCCGUGACCUCCGUUCUGCUUUCAGACGGAGGAGACACGGUGGAGAUUCCACCAUCCGCCGCCACGUUAUAUCCUUUAUCCGCUCCAGGAAAGCGGUUCACAAGGAUCUAGCUAAGCUACUCUUGUUGCUGAAACAUGCCGACCACUCCUACUCAGGGCCAACUCAUCAUUUGAUCACACUGCUCCGACAAGUUUGUUCCCAGACAUGUCUUUCUUUUAGGACAGUCUUGUUGUCGUUAUCCACAUCAGUACCAAAGCCAAGACCUUCUAAGUGGGCUUUAGUUACCAAAUUGGUGAUCAAGAACGUUACUAAUACAGGUGCUCAAGUUCAGACAGGACACAGAAACGAGUACCAGUUGAUGGAUGAAGAACUACAAAGAUUCUGCACGGCGAAAGAGAUAAAGAAGGAAAGAAUCAAGUCAUUGAACACAAGCUUAGAUAAAGUCGAUAUUGUAGUUGAAGAUCUGGAGGAGACGCUUGAAAGCUUGUACAGGCGUAUGAUCCAAGCUAGAGUCUCACAAAAUCGAACCAAUUCAACCCUCAAUCUACUCGAUACUCACCUGAGCAAGUGGAGAAGACACUCCGUCGUCGAUUAGAACGAGAAAACCUCCGGGAGACGAAGUCGCACGAAAUAUCGCCUCUCAGAAAAAAACCCUAGCUUUUUGGUGGAGAAGAACAAAUGAGGCGAUACACGUCGAACCCCAACUUUCCUCCUCCUCUACGCGCUUUCGUUCAGCAAAUCAACACCCGACGCGUGGCUUGAACCCGCUUCAUACGGUAUCACUCGCAAGGCCCGGUUCAUCAAAACGAACCCAUUUUUUAUUUUCUUUUAUUCAUCGACCCCUUAGAACUCGAGCCCAUGAACCUCACUAAAACCCCUAAUGCUCAUGGUCUAACAUUUUCUUCUCACCAAAUCUUGUUUAUAAGGUAUUCGCAAAUGCAUUUAGCACAAAUAUGUAGAUCAUAUUUGGCAUAAGAUUGCUAGAGUUUAAUUAGUAGAUCAGCUGUAUCUAACACAAAUAUGUAAAUCAUAUUUGGCAUAAGAUUGCUAGAGUU